rnacentral:tRNA from 1 species
GGAAGGGUGGCAGAGAGGUCGAAUGCGCCGGACUCGAAAUCCGGUAUACGGUUAUACCGUAUCGAGGGUUCGAAUCCCUCCCCUUCCGCCA